rnacentral:tRNA from 1 species
UCGCGGGAUAGAGUAGAGGUCAUCUCGUUGGGCUCAUAACCCAAAGGUCGGAGGUUCGAAUCCUUCUCCCGCUAU